rnacentral:lncRNA from 1 species
CUAAGUCCCUAAAGUCGGGUCUCUACUAAUAAAAUGAAGCUGACAUGGCAAUUGAUGAGGAAAUCAAUGAAUACCCGGAACUAUCAUGCACAUAUGAGAAUCAAAGCAUGCAUAUAGAAAUACCAGAAUGGGAAUAGAUAUGUACCUGGGCGACGAGCCACAAUAAGCUUAUCAAAAAGUGAGGUUAAUGCACAAUUAAGAAAUAAUUUCGAGCAUGGAUACCAAAUGAAUAUCACUCAAAACAAAAAUAACUGAAUGAAUAGGAGAGACAAAGAAUGUACCUGAGUGAUGAACCGGUCAAUCGCGCGUGACAAACAAAUCAAUAAAUGAAUCAAUCAAUCAUAAAAUCAUGUAUGUGGGGCCCCCACCAAAGCCCGAUCGAUCUUGCAUGAAUUAAUCUCACAAAUUCCAUUAUUCUGAAAUUAUGAAAGUGACAUUCACGCUUAUAUAAAACCAAGAGGAACAUGAGAUUAUUUGAAAACCGGAAUGAAAUUAAAACUGUUCGAGUGAAGACUGAAUUUUUGAAAUUUGUUUGAAAAUUGGAGUAUCGAAAAUUAUUUGGAAAUUGGAGUUUUGGAAAUUAAAUUUAAGAAUUGGAAUUUUAGGGAUUAAAUUUGAAUGAAAACAUAAUUUUGAAAAUUAUUUGGGAAGUAGAAACUAUCAAAGUUAAAUUAUGAAAAUUGGGACUUUAGAAAUUAAAUUUUGAAAGAAAUUAGAAUUGGAAAUUAUUUAAGAAUUAGAAAUCAUGAAAAUUAAAUUACAUAAAUUGGAAUUUUGGAAAUUAUUUGAAGGUGGAAUUUUUCUAAAGAUAAAUAACUAAAAUGAUGAUGAUAAUAAUAUUAAUA